CCACUCAACGACGACGAGUUCAUCUCCUACAUCAUGGCCGGCCUCGACAUAGAGUAUCAUCCCCUCGUCUCCACCCUUGACGCCCGCACCCAACCUGUCACCCUUUGACAAACUGUAUGCUCAGAUGAGUAGCUUCGAUC
rnacentral:snoRNA from 1 species